GGUCCCGUAGCUCAGCUGGAUAGAGCGUUAGAUUCCGAGUCUAAAGGCCACGCGUUCGAAUCGCGUCGGGACCGCCA
rnacentral:tRNA from 1 species